GAUGAAGAACGCAGCGAAAUGCGAUAAGUAAUGUGAAUUGCAGAAUUCAGUGAAUCAUCGAAUCUUUGAACGCACAUUGCGCCCGCCAGUAUUCUGGCGGGCAUGCCUGUUCGAGCGUCAUUUCAACCAUCAAGCCCCAGGCUUGUGUUGGGGACCUGCGGCUGCCGCAGGCCCUGAAAACCAGUGGCGGGCUCGCUGUCACACCGGGCGUAGUAGAUUUUAUCUCGCUCAGGGCGUGCUGCGGGUCCCGGCCGUUAAAAGCCUUUUUUUACCCAAGGUUGACCUCGGAUCAGGUAGGAAGACCCGCUGAACUUAAGCAUAUCAAUAAGCGGAGGA
rnacentral:misc_RNA from 1 species